CCACUGGGAAUAGUAAAGGUCGAAACCGAUCUGUUAAAAUCAAUAAAUGACAAACGGGGUAUACUUGAACUAGUCAGUAAGGAUAUAAAAGAGUUUAAGGCAAGCCUCGAGAUGAGUGAUGAAAAAGCUGCGACAUUGGAGAAAGAAACACACAAGCUAAAAGGGACAGUCAAUAAGAUUGAAACCGAUGUUAAUGAACUUAAAAAGGAGAACACCGUUCUGAGAGAAGCCUGACUUGACAUACAGACUAGAUCCAUGAGAGCGAAUCUGGUACUUACAGGUUUCCAAGAGAAAGAAGAAGUUCCUGAAUCUGUAGUUAGUGAGUUCCUCCUUACAGCACGUCAGAUCCAACGCGAAGCUAACGACAAAAUACAACUCGAACGUGUACACCGCUUCGAGCAGAGAGAAUACUUCAAAAUGAGAAGUUCCUGCCAUGGAAAAGACAGCUGGGCGGACAUAAAGUGGAAAGGAGGGGAAAUAACUCACACCAUGCAGCAGACACCUUAAGCUGCGGGGUCUUUAUAAUGCAGAUAGCCAAGGAAGUUGCACAGAACUUCCCCAACAUCCCCUCCCAAAUUGAUAUGGAACCUUCAAAAACACAUGGAACAACUGCGAAAAGAAAUGACUGAGGAUAUACCAAAAAUUUCUGAGUUCAACAAAGCCAACAACUGCUUCAUGUGUGCCACUGAUAAAGAACCUGGAUGUGGUCCAAAGACUGCCUGGAAUGUUUUGCAUGCCAACGGUGGUUCCAUGUGCUGUGCCUAGGAAUGAAGACAAAAGAGUUCAACAGAGUAAAGAACACAAACUGGAAGUGCAGUCUUUGUUGUUGAAAAUGUAUGCUAUACCCCAUCCACACUGAAGAGGCUCUGAAAUGUACAUCAACCAGGGAGAAAGUUAACACUGUGAAAUGUUUCAUACUUAAUUGAAGAUAAAUGUCUGUUGACAUGUUGGAAAAGAUUAAAGGUCUACAAUUUCUGUUUAAUUUG